GGGUUGUGAGGUUAAGCGACUAAGCGUACACGGUGGAUGCCCUGGCAGUCAGAGGCGAUGAAGGACGUGCUAAUCUGCGAUAAGCGUCGGUAAGGUGAUAUGAACCGUUAUAACCGGCGAUUUCCGAAUGGGGAAACCCAGUGUGUUUCGACACACUAUCAUUAACUGAAUCCAUAGGUUAAUGAGGCGAACCGGGGGAACUGAAACAUCUAAGUACCCCGAGGAAAAGAAAUCAACCGAGAUUCCCCCAGUAGCGGCGAGCGAACGGGGAGCAGCCCAGAGCCUGAAUCAGUGUGUGUGUUAGUGGAAGCGUCUGGAAAGGCGCGCGAUACAGGGUGACAGCCCCGUACACAAAAAUGCACAUGCUGUGAGCUCGAUGAGUAGGGCGGGACACGUGGUAUCCUGUCUGAAUAUGGGGGGACCAUCCUCCAAGGCUAAAUACUCCUGACUGACCGAUAGUGAACCAGUACCGUGAGGGAAAGGCGAAAAGAACCCCGGCGAGGGGAGUGAAAAAGAACCUGAAACCGUGUACGUACAAGCAGUGGGAGCACGCUUAGGCGUGUGACUGCGUACCUUUUGUAUAAUGGGUCAGCGACUUAUAUUCUGUAGCAAGGUUAACCGAAUAGGGGAGCCGAAGGGAAACCGAGUCUUAACUGGGCGUUAAGUUGCAGGGUAUAGACCCGAAACCCGGUGAUCUAGCCAUGGGCAGGUUGAAGGUUGGGUAACACUAACUGGAGGACCGAACCGACUAAUGUUGAAAAAUUAGCGGAUGACUUGUGGCUGGGGGUGAAAGGCCAAUCAAACCGGGAGAUAGCUGGUUCUCCCCGAAAGCUAUUUAGGUAGCGCCUCGUGAAUUCAUCUCCGGGGGUAGAGCACUGUUUCGGCAAGGGGGUCAUCCCGACUUACCAACCCGAUGCAAACUGCGAAUACCGGAGAAUGUUAUCACGGGAGACACACGGCGGGUGCUAACGUCCGUCGUGAAGAGGGAAACAACCCAGACCGCCAGCUAAGGUCCCAAAGUCAUGGUUAAGUGGGAAACGAUGUGGGAAGGCCCAGACAGCCAGGAUGUUGGCUUAGAAGCAGCCAUCAUUUAAAGAAAGCGUAAUAGCUCACUGGUCGAGUCGGCCUGCGCGGAAGAUGUAACGGGGCUAAACCAUGCACCGAAGCUGCGGCAGCGACGCUGAUGCGUUGUUGGGUAGGGGAGCGUUCUGUAAGCCUGCGAAGGUGUGCUGUGAGGCAUGCUGGAGGUAUCAGAAGUGCGAAUGCUGACAUAAGUAACGAUAAAGCGGGUGAAAAGCCCGCUCGCCGGAAGACCAAGGGUUCCUGUCCAACGUUAAUCGGGGCAGGGUGAGUCGACCCCUAAGGCGAGGCCGAAAGGCGUAGUCGAUGGGAAACAGGUUAAUAUUCCUGUACUUGGUGUUACUGCGAAGGGGGGACGGAGAAGGCUAUGUUGGCCGGGCGACGGUUGUCCCGGUUUAAGCGUGUAGGCUGGUUUUCCAGGCAAAUCCGGAAAAUCAAGGCUGAGGCGUGAUGACGAGGCACUACGGUGCUGAAGCAACAAAUGCCCUGCUUCCAGGAAAAGCCUCUAAGCAUCAGGUAACAUCAAAUCGUACCCCAAACCGACACAGGUGGUCAGGUAGAGAAUACCAAGGCGCUUGAGAGAACUCGGGUGAAGGAACUAGGCAAAAUGGUGCCGUAACUUCGGGAGAAGGCACGCUGAUAUGUAGGUGAAGUCCCUCGCGGAUGGAGCUGAAAUCAGUCGAAGAUACCAGCUGGCUGCAACUGUUUAUUAAAAACACAGCACUGUGCAAACACGAAAGUGGACGUAUACGGUGUGACGCCUGCCCGGUGCCGGAAGGUUAAUUGAUGGGGUCAGCGCAAGCGAAGCUCUUGAUCGAAGCCCCGGUAAACGGCGGCCGUAACUAUAACGGUCCUAAGGUAGCGAAAUUCCUUGUCGGGUAAGUUCCGACCUGCACGAAUGGCGUAAUGAUGGCCAGGCUGUCUCCACCCGAGACUCAGUGAAAUUGAACUCGCUGUGAAGAUGCAGUGUACCCGCGGCAAGACGGAAAGACCCCGUGAACCUUUACUAUAGCUUGACACUGAACAUUGAGCCUUGAUGUGUAGGAUAGGUGGGAGGCUUUGAAGUGUGGACGCCAGUCUGCAUGGAGCCGACCUUGAAAUACCACCCUUUAAUGUUUGAUGUUCUAACGUUGACCCGUAAUCCGGGUUGCGGACAGUGUCUGGUGGGUAGUUUGACUGGGGCGGUCUCCUCCUAAAGAGUAACGGAGGAGCACGAAGGUUGGCUAAUCCUGGUCGGACAUCAGGAGGUUAGUGCAAUGGCAUAAGCCAGCUUGACUGCGAGCGUGACGGCGCGAGCAGGUGCGAAAGCAGGUCAUAGUGAUCCGGUGGUUCUGAAUGGAAGGGCCAUCGCUCAACGGAUAAAAGGUACUCCGGGGAUAACAGGCUGAUACCGCCCAAGAGUUCAUAUCGACGGCGGUGUUUGGCACCUCGAUGUCGGCUCAUCACAUCCUGGGGCUGAAGUAGGUCCCAAGGGUAUGGCUGUUCGCCAUUUAAAGUGGUACGCGAGCUGGGUUUAGAACGUCGUGAGACAGUUCGGUCCCUAUCUGCCGUGGGCGCUGGAGAACUGAGGGGGGCUGCUCCUAGUACGAGAGGACCGGAGUGGACGCAUCACUGGUGUUCGGGUUGUCAUGCCAAUGGCACUGCCCGGUAGCUAAAUGCGGAAGAGAUAAGUGCUGAAAGCAUCUAAGCACGAAACUUGCCCCGAGAUGAGUUCUCCCUGACCCUUUAAGGGUCCUGAAGGAACGUUGAAGACGACGACGUUGAUAGGCCGGAUGUGUAAGCGCAGCGAUGCGUUGAGCUAACCGGUACUAAUGAACCGUGAGGCUUAACCUUACAACGCCGAAGGUGUUU
rnacentral:rRNA from 1 species